UCCUCGAUGGUCUAGUGGUCAUGAGUAAGCUCAACCAGUCCAACACGCGGGAGACCAGGGUUCGAUUCCCUGUCGGGGAG
rnacentral:tRNA from 1 species